rnacentral:rRNA from 1 species
UACGGGGGGUGCGAGCGUUGUCCGGAAUCAUUGGGCGUAAAGCGCGUGUAGGCGGCUCGAUAAGUCCGCUCUGAAAGUCCAGGGCUCAACCCUGGGAUGCGGGUGGAUACUGUCGGGCUCGAGUCCGGAAGAGGCGAGUGGAAUUCCUGGUGUAGCGGUGAAAUGCGCAGAUAUCAGGAGGAACACCAAUGGCGAAGGCAGCUCGCUGGGACGUGACUGACGCUGAGACGCGAAAGCGUGGGGAGCAAACAGG